CUACGGGACGCACCAGUGGGGAAUAUUGGACAAUGGGGGAAACCCUGAUCCAGCAAUGCCGCGUGUGUGAAGAAGGCCUGCGGGUUGUAAAGCACUUUCGGUUGGGAGGACUGCUUCUAGCACUAAUAUUGUUGGAAGUUGACGUUACCUUCAGAAGAAGCACCGGCUAACUCCGUGCCAGCAGCCGGCGGCAAUACGGAGGGUGCAAGCGUUAAUCGGAAUUACUGGGCGUAAAGCGCGCGUAGGCGGCUAGAUCAGUCGGGUGUGAAAGCCCCGGGCUUAACCUGGGAACUGCAUCCGAUACUGUCUAGCUUGAGUACAGGAGAGGAGAGUGGAAUUCCACAUGUAGCGGUGAAAUGCGUAGAUAUGUGGAGGAACACCAAUGGCGAAGGCAGCUCUCUGGCCUGAUACUGACGCUGAGGUGCGAAAGCGUGGGGAGCAAACAGGAUUAGAUACCCCUGUAGUC
rnacentral:rRNA from 1 species